GUGCCAGCAGCCGCGGUGAUACGUAGGGUGCGAGCGUUGUCCGGAUUUAUUGGGCGUAAAGAGCUUGUAGGCGGUUCGUUGCGUCGGAAGUGAAAACUCAGGGCUUAACUCUGAGCCUGCUUUCGAUACGGGCGGACUUGAGGGAUGUAGGGGAGAACGGAAUUCCUGGUGGAGCGGUGGAAUGCGCAGAUAUCAGGAGGAACACCAGUGGCGAAGGCGGUUCUCUGGACAUUUCCUGACGCUGAGAAGCGAAAGCGUGGGAGCAAACAGGCUUAGAUACCCUGGUAGUCCACGCCGUAAACGGUGGGCACUAGGUGUGGGAUCCGUUCCGACGGUUCCGUGCCGUA
rnacentral:rRNA from 1 species